rnacentral:rRNA from 1 species
AUUGAACGCUGGCGGCAUGCCUUACACAUGCAAGUCGAACGGUAACGGGCCUUCGGGUGCCGACGAGUGGCGCACGGGUGAGUAGUACAUCGGAACGUGCCCGAUCGUGGGGGAUAACGAGGCGAAAGCUUUGCUAAUACCGCAUACGAUCUACGGAUGAAAGCAGGGGACCGCAAGGCCUUGCGCGGACGGAGCGGCCGAUGGCAGAUUAGGUAGUUGGUGGGAUAAAAGCUUACCAAGCCGACGAUCUGUAGCUGGUCUGAGAGGAUGAUCAGCCACACUGGGACUGAGACACGGCCCAGACUCCUACGGGAGGCAGCAGUGGGGAAUUUUGGACAAUGGGCGCAAGCCUGAUCCAGCCAUGCCGCGUGCAGGAUGAAGGCCUUCGGGUUGUAAACUGCUUUUGUACGGAACGAAAAGCCUUCUUUUAAUACAGGAGGGUCAUGACGGUACCGUAAGAAUAAGCACCGGCUAACUACGUG